UUAACUGAAGCCAAAAAGAGGCAUUUCAUUGUUAAUGAAAUCAAUGAUUUCAAAAAUCCAGUUAAA
rnacentral:tRNA from 1 species